rnacentral:rRNA from 1 species
GAUGAACGCUGGCGGCGUGCUUAACACAUGCAAGUCGAACGGGAAACCUUUUAUUGAAGCUUCGGCAGAUUUAGCUGGUUUCUAGUGGCGGACGGGUGAGUAACGCGUGGGUAACCUGCGUUAUACAGGGGGAUAACAACCAGAAAUGGUUGCUAAUACCGCAUAAGCGCACAGGGCCGCAUGGUCCGGUGUGAAAAACUCCGGUGGUAUAAGAUGGACCCGCGUUGGAUUAGCUGGUUGGCAGGGUAACGGCCUACCACGGCGACGAUCCAUAGCCGGCCAGAGAGGGUGAACCGCCACAUUGGGACUGAGACACGGCCCAGACUCCUACGGGAGGCAGCAGUGGGGAAUAUUGCACAAUGGGGGAAACCAUGAAGCAGCGACGCCGCGUGAAGGAAGAAGUAUCUCGAUAUAUAAACUUCUAUCAGCAGGGAAGAUAGUGACGGUACCUGACUAAGAAGCCCCGGCUAACUACGUG